AUUGAACGCUGGCGGCAUGCCUUACACAUGCAAGUCGAACGGUAACGGGUCCUUCGGGAUGCCGACGAGUGGCGAACGGGUGAGUAAUAUAUCGGAACGUGCCCAGUAGUGGGGGAUAACUGCUCGAAAGAGCAGCUAAUACCGCAUACGACCUGAGGGUGAAAGGGGGGGAUCGCAAGACCUCUCGCUAUUGGAGCGGCCGAUAUCAGAUUAGCUAGUUGGUGGGGUAAAGGCCUACCAAGGCAACGAUCUGUAGUUGGUCUGAGAGGACGACCAGCCACACUGGGACUGAGACACGGCCCAGACUCCUACGGGAGGCAGCAGUGGGGAAUUUUGGACAAAGGGCGCAAGCCUGAUCCAGCAAUGCCGCGUGCAGGAAGAAGGCCUUCGGGUUGUAAACUGCUUUUGUCAGGGAAGAAAUCUUCUGGGCUAAUACCCCGGGAGGAUGACGGUACCUGAAGAAUAAGCACCGGCUAACUACGUG
rnacentral:rRNA from 1 species